UCAUCAAUACCGGCGCUGAAAUCUCGUGGUUCUGCAGCAUAUCGUUCAUGUAGCACCAUGAGAUUCAGCUCCGGUGUUUGAUAC
rnacentral:pre_miRNA from 1 species